UACGUAGGCAGCAAGCGUUGUUCGGAGUUACUGGGCGUAAAGAGUAUGUAGGCGGUUGGGUAAGUUUGGUGUGAAAUCUCCCGGCUUAACUGGGAGGGUGCGCUAAAGACUGCCUGGCUCGAGUGUGGGAGAGGAAAGCGGAAUUCCUGGUGUAGCGGUGAAAUGCGUAGAUAUCAGGAGGAACACCUGCGGUGUAGAACGGCUUUCUGGACCAUAACUGACGCUGAGAUACGAAAGCGUGGGUAGCAAACAGG
rnacentral:rRNA from 1 species